UACGUAGGGUGCGAGCGUUGUCCGGAAUUAUUGGGCGUAAAGAGCUCGUAGGCGGUCUGUCGCGUCGAUCGUGAAAACUUGGGGCUUAACCCUGAGCUUGCGGUCGAUACAGGCAUGACUGGAGUUCGGCAGGGGAGACUGGAAUUCCUGGUGUAGCGGUGAAAAUGCGCAGAUAUCAGGAGGAACACCGGUGGCGAAGGCGGGUC
rnacentral:rRNA from 1 species